GCUCCUACCGAUUUCGAGUGAUCCGGUGAACCUUUUGGACUGCGCGGGGCCUCGUGCCCAGUGUGGAAAAUCAAGUAAACCAUAUCACUUAGAGGAAGGAGAAGUCGUAACAAGGUUUCC
rnacentral:rRNA from 1 species